rnacentral:misc_RNA from 1 species
GAUGAAGAACGCAGCGAAAUGCGAUAAGUAAUGUGAAUUGCAGAAUUCAGUGAAUCAUCGAAUCUUUGAACGCACAUUGCGCCCGCCAGUAUUCUGGCGGGCAUGCCUGUUCGAGCGUCAUUUCAACCAUCAAGCCCCAGGCUUGUGUUGGGGACCUGCGGCUGCCGCAGGCCCUGAAAACCAGUGGCGGGCUCGCUGUCACACCGGGCGUAGUAGAUUUUAUCUCGCUCAGGGCGUGCUGCGGGUCCCGGCCGUUAAAAGCCUUUUUUUACCCAAGGUUGACCUCGGAUCAGGUAGGAAGACCCGCUGAACUUAAGCAUAUCAAUAAGCGGAGA